AGUAAAAGAAGCAGUGGGGAAAAGGUGACAGGCUUUUUCUGAUAUUUCUGCUUGUCCACCUUUUAUCUCUUCUUCCUUUCUAGAAUGUUCUGAAAGGCAUGCUUUGCAUCUGUUUCCAGUCCUGGGGGCCAGGUUCUACUCCUAGCUUCUGUUUUGCCCUAACCUUAUUGACAUCCUCUUCCUCUUCCUCCUUUCUCAUCUCCUGGGUUCUCCUUUUACAAAGCUGAGUGGGCAGGGCUGGGUCCAAUCCAGCCAAAUACAAAGCUGCCGAAUGCCACUUAUUUAUAUACAGGACAAACGUUUUCAGAUUUCACAGAAGAGGACUAUCACUUUAUAAAUUUUAAAGAAGGGGAAACUACUUCUAUAAACCAAUAGGAAAAAUUCUCCAACUUUUAGUGGGCUAACAUAUAGGAAUCAAUUUUUUUUUAAAUAAAAUAUGUCCUUUUUAAACUGCAUGUUAUUAGCUACUAGUACUUUGUAAAAUCAGUGUAUCCAACCAAAAAUUUUAAAAUAAUAGAACAGAAGAUAUCAGAGUGCAUGACACAUAGUAAGAGAAAGUAAUGUUGCACGAAAAGUUAGAUUCAGUUAAAUAUAUACAAAGGUAUGGGUAUAAGAAUGAGGUUACAAGGUUAAAUGUAUUUCUUCCUGUAGGUGAUCGGCAAAAUAUCUGAGAAUUACUGAAUCCUAACAAUUGCACCUGGUAGUCAACUUGGACACUCAUGUGGGCCUCCCCUCGUCCUGGGAAGGUAUCUGAAGUGUUAGAGUCAAGGUGCCCUCCCAACAUUGCUACCCAGGAACCAGGAAAGGAUACACUGAUGGAUAAGGAAAAAUACAGUUUCACUCAAAUGCAUCAGAGGCAUGUGAACCAGAGCAACUCCAUCUUGAAUGGACCUGGGUAAGAUGAGGCUGAGAUCUACUGGGCUCCAUUCCCAGAUGAUUAAGGCAUUCUAAGUCACAGGAUGAGAUAGGAGUUUGGCACAAAAUACAGGUCAUAAAGAUCUUGCUGAUAAAACAGUUUGCAGUAAAGAAGCCAGCUCUAACCCAUCAAAACCAGGAUGGCCAUAAGAGUGACCUCUGGUCAUCCUCACUACUCCCACCAGCGCUGUAACAGUUGACAAAUGUGAUGGCAACAUCAGGAAGUUACCUUAUAUCGACUAAAAAAGGGAAACAUGAAUAAUCCACCCCUUGUUUAGCAUAUCAUCAAGAAAUAACCAUAAAAAUGGUCAACCAGCUGCCCUAAGGGCUGCUCCUUCUAUGUAGUAGCCAUUCUUUUAUUCCUUCACUUUCUUAAUAAACUUGCUUUCACUUU
rnacentral:lncRNA from 1 species